rnacentral:lncRNA from 10 species
UUGGCUACUUCUGAGAAGCAUCCUUGUGUGUCUGUGUGGGAAGGGAGAGCAAACAGAAGCAGGAGGGCCAUGGUGGCACAGGCAUGGAGGACCUCAAUGAGGAAGCAGAGGGAGGAAGCGUGUUUCAGGGUACCGAUGACAAGGGGGAUCAGGAAUCUACUAAGAUGUUCAUGGAGGCAGCAGCCUGCUGGUCAUGCUGACCUCCAUUGCUGAUGAUGCAAAUGAGACCAGGAAGAGGACCUUCCACCCAGCACUGGAAUCUCUGCCAGCAAAAUGCAGAACAUAUGGAAACAAAUACAUCACAUUUGUUCACUUGAGUAUGCUGGUCUUUCCUUUGAGUGUGUUUCCUGUUGAGAGAAAUACAGGAAAAUAUAAUGUUAAAAGGAGAGAAUUUGUAAUAAUACAUGCUAAAUCUAUUAAUGUAUUCCUUUUUCAUGCAAUACUUUGCUGAAUAGAGUCUACUUUAUGCCCUGAUACUGGACUAUAUGCUGGAGAACCAAAG